rnacentral:rRNA from 1 species
CGAUGAAUAAGCUAGGUGUUGGAGGGUUUCCGCUCUUCAGUGCGGCGCAGCUAACGCAUUAAGCAUUCCGCCUGGAGGAGUACGACCGCAAGGUUGAAACUCAAAGGAAUUGACGGGGGCCCGCACAAGCGGUGGAGCAUGUGGUUUAAUUCGAAGCAACGCGAAGAACCUUACCAGGUCUUGACAUCUUUUGAUCACCUGAGAGAUCAGGUUAAUCCCCUUCGGGGGCAAGGAAUGACAGGUGGUGCAUGGUUGUCGUCAGCUCGUGUCGUGAGAUGUUGGGUUAAGUCCCGCAACGAGCGCAACCCUUAUGACUAGUUGCCAGCAUUUAGUUGGGCACUCUAGUAAGGACUGCCGGUGACAAACCGGAGGAAGGUGGGGAUAAGACGUCAAAUCAUCAUGCCCC